UUUUGUUUUGCUUUGAAAAUGCAAGUUUGCAGUUGCUGCAGAAAAUUUGGAAUUUCAAGCAGGAUUUACCCACUUGUGUUGCAUGCGCCCGGAAAACGUCGAAAAGAGCGCUCACUCCCGUCAAAUUGAUGUGCUUCAAGCUGGUCGAUGACUGGAACUCCUUGGAUCAAACCGUUCCGACAAUCCCCAGCUUACCGGUCCCGCAGCAACCGGAACUGCCACUUUCGGACGGUGGCGGCAUCUCGAAACAAGAAAAUCAUCCGGAUUAAGUGAAACCUUAGGAGAGCUUCAAAAAGGUGCUGGAGAUGAAGCUGCACCAAUCAUCCGGAGCGAGGAGUCGUCCCGGGUAAUUCAACAAAAUCCACCCGUCGUACCACGGAAUCCCCCGUAACUCGCUUACCAGCAUCAUUUCCCGGCUAAGUGCGAUUGAAUUGAUGUGGCUACGGAUCAAAGAAGCGCUUCUUCGAAAAAAGCGGUGGAGCUUCACCUUCACCUUCAAGUUUAACCGACCCGGAAGCAACUCGUCCAACUGCAAUAUUUGAUCAUCCUUUCCGGAGCUUGAGCCUGCACCAACGAUAAGAUUAUGCUGAGGAUCUUCAGCUCUAGCACCCAGCGACACAUGAUGACCAACACCGCAUUUCAGGGUCAUUUGCGCCUUCCACAACACCAUGAGAGCGUUCGAGCUAGCUGGCUGCGCUGAACGCCCACAAAAUAAUCAUUAAGUUUUAAA